rnacentral:rRNA from 1 species
GACGAACGCUGGCGGCGUGCCUAAUACAUGCAAGUCGAACGAGUGGCGGACGGGUGAGUAACACGUGGGUAACCUACCCACAGAGGGGGAUAACACUUGGAAACAGGGUCUAAUACCGAAUAAAGGGGGAUGGGCUCGCGGCCUAUCAGCGUGUUGGGGGGGGGAUGGGCUACCAAGGCGGUGACGGGUAGCCGGCCGGAUAGGGGUAGCGGCUACAUGGCGACGGAGUUACGGCGCAGACGACGACGAGAGGCAGCAGUGUGGGAGAUUGCACAAUGGGCGACAGCCUGAUGCAGCGACGCCGCGUGGGGGAUGAAGGCUUUCGGGUUGUAAACCUCUUUCGCAAUCGAGGGGUAGGUGGAGAGGAAGCGACGGCUAACUACGUGCCAGCAGCCGCGGUAAUAC